GCUGACGAGUGGCGGACGGGUGAGUAAUGUCUGGGAAACUGCCUGAUGGAGGGGGAUAACUACUGGAAACGGUGGCUAAUACCGCAUAACGUCGCAAGACCAAAGAGGGGGACCUUCGGGCCUCUUGCCAUCAGAUGUGCCCAGAUGGGAUUAGCUUGUUGGUGAGGUAACGGCUCACCAAGGCGACGAUCCCUAGCUGGUCUGAGAGGAUGACCAGCCACACUGGAACUGAGACACGGUCCAGACUCCUACGGGAGGCAGCAGUGGGGAAUAUUGCACAAUGGGCGCAAGCCUGAUGCAGCCAUGCCGCGUGUAUGAAGAAGGCCUUCGGGUUGUAAAGUACUUUCAGCGGGGAGGAAGGUGUUG
rnacentral:rRNA from 2 species